UAGUCUAGACAAAUGUACAAGAAAUUGA
rnacentral:sRNA from 1 species